rnacentral:lncRNA from 1 species
UUCCCCCUCGUGGAAGUGGGUCAGUCCCCCCAGUCCCCUGUCCCCCGCAGGAUGUGCGGGAUUUCUUCCAAGCUGUUACCGGCUCACCUUUGAUCUUGCCUUUUCGCCACCGCCUGCGACUGCGGUUCUUCGAUCCUUCUUUGGCCUGCUUGGAGGCCUGGGCCCCCACGGGCGCCGAUUCCACGGCCGGCUCCAUCAAUUCUUUCUAGUCCUGGCGCGGGGCCCAAUUCCAGCGAUCAAGUCCCUCUCUUAGAGUCAAUCCUAGUUACACACCACUGCCCGGCCCCUAGACCAUCCAAUCCUGGGCAGGCUCCUCGCGGAGCUCCGCCUUUAAUGGGUGGGGCUGAAGGUCUUGGCCCGCCCAUCCGCUCAGAUUAAAGGAACCGCGCAGUGCACCGCAACGACAGACAAAAAAAAAAAACAAACAAAAAAAAAACAAAAAAAAAAAACAAAAAAAUCCGCAGUCCUGGAGGCGGCGAGAAGUGCCCUCACAGCAGGAAUAGUGAGGAGUCGCGUUAGAGUCACCCCAACAAAGAAUUCUCAGUCAUCUCGUGCAGAAUCAAAGGGAUGCAGGGCAGGGAAAGGGGAAGACAGCAACACCGCCGGCCUCAGGGUUGAUCUCCAGAAAGGAGCGACUGGGUUCUAUGGCUGUUACCUGCCAUUGCUUCGGAGAGGCGGCAAGGAAGAAGCGCCACAGCUCACCAGCACUUCACUGCGCUGUUUCCAUUCCGCCUGGAUCUUGCCACAGACCUCUGCAGCCCCCGCUCCCAAGCUUCUCUACCCCCUGAAACCUAGUCUGAGACCCUGCAGAGGCACCGGGCGGCAGGGGCGAGACCGUCUCGAAGCAGAGGCAGUGAAUGGCCUGGAUGUUCGGCUAGGCUACACACACUUGCCAAAUAAGGCAGAUGUGUAAUCAAGGAAUGACAUAUACUUCAUAAACCUAGAGGUACAAGUGCAGUCAACGUUCUAAGGUUGUGGAGGUUCACUGGGGACUGAAAUGGUGAUUAGCAUGUGCAAAGUCAGUAUCGUGAGGAGUAUCCUGCCCAAGCAGGCUGAUCCAUCUUUGCACUGGAAUGCCUACUAGCAGCAACUUGUCUGGUGUCUGGGUAUCCUUUGGGUCCUGUGUACUCGGUUUGUACUAUCUCAAAACUCAGACUUUGGCUGCUAAAAAUAUCUUCCCAGGUUUAGCCAUUCGAGAGUGUCAGCUCCUGUUGGUCACUACCUCACGUUGGAGGCAGAUGGCUCUGAGAGCUCUUAAGUCUUUUCUCAAAAGCAGUGAAAACUGCAAAACAAUGCACCAACCCGAAACAUUUGCAUUAUUGCUCCCUUGAACUAUACAAGAAAUGCUUUGACUCUCAUUGUGUGACGAUAGAGCCCAUCUUGGAGUCUCUUCUGGGUCCCCCAAUUCCAUGAUCCCAUUAGGAACACAGGAAGAUGAAGUAAAACAGAGAAAACUGUGUAGGAUUGGGAUGUGUGCCCGACAGCCUGAGGCACAGGAAGUCCCGGGGUACCGUGAUCCUCCGAGGGCUCAGUGACACUGGAAAUACUAGGGAUGUCACCAUUUUGAUGAUGUUGCUAGCCAGGUUAAUGGCCAGGUCACAUGGUCACCCUUAUCUUAAUGAGGGCAUCAGUCAAGAUGGCAACAAAGC